CCCAGUUUUGCACAUGCUAGAAGUUCAGAUACUUCAGAGAAGCUUCUGAACUGAACUACUGAACCUUUUGAGGUUGGCCCAUCAUUAACUGGGACACAGAUCAACUAGGAAGUUCAGAACUGAGGCUGACAUUCUACCUUUAACUCGGGCUGUCGUUCCAGGUUCCAAAGGUGCCUCGAAUUAGAUAUCAUGUCCAUUUAUCUCUGGGCACGAUAGAUGCCGCAUUACAUGCAGGUGCAAAACUGAAGGCAAUGGAAUUACUCCACGCUAACAGUAGCGUAAAUGAGAUCAGAACCUGUUCCAGCGACCUCACAAAGUGCCUACCACAAUGGGGUCCUGAUCCAUGACUGGGGCUGUUAGGACUACUGCAAUAAAAUAAAUAAAUAAGCAAUAACAACAAGCUGCAUACCACCUGCAAGACAGAGGUACGUUGCCUAGUCAAGAUGCCACUAUCAGGCUAGGAAAGUGAGAACUUUAAAAGAUGAUGAUGAUCAUAGAUAAAGAGAUCUGAAAGAAAGCAAAGAAGGUUGGUAUCUGAUCCUAAAUAUGUCUCUUCAAAGAGCCAGAAGGUGUAGAGCAUAGCACAAGACAUACCACCAGAUUAAGAGAAAGAGACACCCCUCAAAAGUUGAGUGAAUUUCAAUCACUAUUAUUUUUCAACUAACAUCACUUUCCCUGAUUAGACACUGCACUUGAUUCUUCACUGCUUUGCAUGUUGGUUAGUCAUUUACACCUGCAAAAUCAAUGCAAAAUAGUUGAAAUACUGAUUUGGGAGCAUUUCACACCCAUUUAGUUAACACAACACAAAGUUAGCAAUAUGGCAGAUUAUAUUUUUCCAGAAAAUACAUUUGUCAUGCCAUUUGCACCAUCUGCUGUAUGUGUCAGUAGGAAGGAAGAUGACUGCUGUUGAAUGGAGUGGUAUUUAGAAACAGUCCCAGUAAGAAACUGGAUGAAAACAAAGGAACCUGGGCAUCAAAGCAGCCAAAGGCACCGGUGAGAAAGAGGAAAAGGGGCAACUAAUACCAUUUCUAUGACUUGGCAGAUCAUUGAUGCACCCUCCAGUAAUACUCCUUUCUCACCUGCAGCACCUGUCCUGGAAGUUCAAGCAAGAUUGUGAAACAUCAACGAGCAGCACCACUAUCUUCAGCUGCAUGAGUAGCGAGUCCAAGACCAGCAACUCUGUAUGGAAAUGCAGGCAUGGCAAACAAGUGCACAUGAUUCAUUCAUCUGUACAGGCUAGAAAGAGCAACUCUGGCAAGCUGAUAGAGUAUGCAAAUCUGAUGUCAUAAAACUGAUGGCAGCAGCCAGUCAUUCAAUACUUUCAUUCCUGCAUUACUUCUUGCACCUACUUUGUAAAGUGUUUUGAAAAUUAAAAGCACUAUGUGUAAGUGCUAAGUAUUAUUAGUAUCUUCACUGCUGUUUAGUAACAUUGUGACAGGCUAAACAUUGUAACAUUUAGUAACAUUGUGUAAGGCUCUGUUAGUUCACCUAAUACUGAUGAGUGUUUAAUCCCCCCCCCCAAUGAUUCUGCAAAAAUUUUUGCCAUCUGAUGGCUCUUCAUAGACCUAUUUGAAAUGAGUCUGAGUCCAGUUCCCAGUUGUCUACAUCACAAACAAAACCCUUACCAGGACUGACACUAAUUGGCACCCUGGCAGUCUCAGCAAAGAGGCAAAGGAAUGAAUGGGCAUAGAAACUGAACUAUCACCUCAGGCCUAGAAGUGACUGCUCCUUCUAGUUCAAGGUAGACACACUCUGGUGGAGAAGUUUGGGAAGCCUGCAUGGUCCCUGCCUAUGCUAUGCCAGUUCUCUGGGUGAACAGAGGACUCAAGUCUCCCAAGGAUCCAUGCAGCAAAGUCCAUUAAUAUUAUAUCCACAAAAACUAAUUUUUAAAAUUAAAAAAUAUCUGAAAAACAUUUAAAAGCAUCUUAACAAUACUUCAGGCUUAUGUAUCUUCAUGUCUUAAUUUACGUUCAGAUAGUCAGGCUGAACAAACAUUCAGUGGUCCUCUUGGUCCAUCCCCAAAAUCUGAGUGGUAACUGGCUACUAUGUCAAUGACACUGAAGAUCCAGCAAUUGUGCAUUGGAAGGGAGAACCUUUGGGAAGAAAAUGAAAACCUACAGCACAACUGAGCAGAAUUGUCUUCUGGUUUCUUUAGCUUCAUGUUUUCUUUUCUUGAUUUUUCGCUCAGCUAUAUUAAGUCAACAGUGACGAAUGAUCAGGCAAUUAUGAAGAUGUUCAAGUGUCUACACAGAAAGUUGCACUGAUUUAAAGUGGGGUUUUUUUAAUCAAUUUAGUUAAACCAAUUCAAACCCCUAUGGGAAUAUUCUUAAUAUGAUUUAAACCUGGUUUAUAUCAAUUUAGUUUAAGUUGAUUCCUUGCUGACCUAAGUUAAAUUGAUAUAAACCAGGGUUAAAUCAAGAUAAUCAAUCCCACACGAGUUUUCACUAGUUUAACAAAAUUGAUUAAAAAACUAUUUUAGUUAAAUCAGAACAGCUUUCGUGUGCAGGAAGACACGCCCUACACUCCCCCUGUUCUAGAGCAUUGCUUACAACAGACCAAAAGAAGUUUCACAAACCAAAUACACCAAAGUUAAAAUAUUUUGCGAUGCUAAAUUGAAUGGGCUGCUUUGGAUUUUUAUAGGUAUAGACGUCUGCAAAAGAAGCUAGGAACUGGUGUAAAAUGGAAAUUAUCCAGAAGCAAAUACAGUACAAAACAAUUUAUUUUUAUAUAGCAUCCUUCAAACAUAAUAUCAUAAAAUGCUUUAACUUCAACCAGAAGUUAAAAACAAAAAGGAUGGAGGGCAAAGUUUAAUGAAGGUAAGUGACUCAGUAGUGGAGGGAAGUUCUAGUCUGGUGAAAUAGAUGAGGUACAACAAGUGAACAAGGACUUUCCACAACCCCAGCCCAAACUGUGGAGCAAUGAGGGAGCCCACAAAGAGGGAAACACUGUAAGAGAAGCGUGACUGAGCUGAAGAGCAGGUGGCCAUGAGGUUAGAGGGGCAGUGAAGAGCAAGUUCUGGAAACUAGGAGGGCCAUUUUGAACUGGGUACAAAGAUGAAUGAGAAGCUAGAGCAGGAGGAUGAGACUAAGUUUGUAUGAGAGCCAUAGUCAUAGAGGAGCCUCUGAACAUCACAGUAUUUGAUGGAAAUGUUGACAUUUAAUGGCCAGAACAGGGGCACAGGGACCAAGGAGCCUUCUGUUCUUAUGUACCCUGCUCUGCAGCCAGGGCCAAUCAGAGCUCCUCCAAGGAAGAGGAAAGGCCAUGGAUCCUCCAUACACACCAGCUCCUAGGUUUGGCUGGGCACAGAGAGGGCAGUCGUUGCACCAGCCCCAAAAGAUGGUGCAGUUUGUUUAUUCAUAUUGUGUGCCAGGGGAAGUUCUCUCUUUCAGAGAUUUCCCUGGAGUAAUGUGGCUUCGCCUUACCCUCCGCAUCAGUAUCUGGCUGAAUGCCACACUCUAGCUCUAUACGAUUUAUGAGAGGCCAGGGUCCCAGACCAUUUGGGCAGCUUGGGCCAUGGCCCCAUCAGCUCUAUCAUUAAUCCAUCUCUGAGUGAAAGUGACAGAGGCUGAACAUGACAUAAAAAUUCCACUGGCUGGAUGUAAAAAUAAGUAUAUUUCAUCAUGCCCAUAUGAUACGUGGUCAGAGCUACACGAUCUUCCUUUACCUCUCCCGGUGUAAGGUUCUGCCUAAAGUCUGGAAAUGCCUUUACAUAUCAAUUUGAAAGUUAUGGUUUGAAACAGGGAACUAAAUCCCUUUAAGUUUUACAUGAGCAGACUGGUGACCUAAUAGGCACACAGAUGCAUUCCUGUGCAUUAAGAGCCAAAUUUUCAUUACUGUGAGAACAAACUGCAUGCAAGACAAGAAGACUGGGUAAGGCUGGGAUGAAAAUUCAGUUCAAAGAACUCAGAUGAGAAAGGAAUAGAUUUUUCUGCCUUGUAACAGCAUGCAAAACCUAGGGACAAUCUAAGUGUCAAGAAUUUUAGCUGAAGGAGAGGUACAGUGCAUAAAACCAGAUAAAGGAAGCCAAAUUACCAUGGGACAUUGGGAUAACUUAAAACAGAGCAGUUAACAAAGCAAAGAGAAAAAUAUGCAUACUGAGAAGUGAGUGAGAAGUAAAGAAAAGACGGGCAACUUGUGAGAUGUAAGGAAAAAUCACUUUGGCUUAAAUGAACAUUUUAAUUUCCUAACGCAAAAAAGGAAUUGAGGAGAAAUGUUGUGCCUGUCUAUGGAUGUAUGAUAGACACUGAAAAGGGAAUUCUCACAGGUGAUGUAGCAUUGGGCUUUUAUGAACAUGAAUUUAGUGAAAAAGAAUGAUAUGCUGUCAAAGGAUUUCACAAUCUAGAUCUUUCUGCCUAAUUAAUAGAGCUAAUGAGGUUUGCAUGCCUUCACUUGAACGUGCUCUUUUGUUUUUGACUUCCUUUUUGCUUCAUCUUAACAUAGAUUUAUUUUACAGUCCUGAAGACUUGGAGCAGUCAAAUACACUUCAACUGUUACCAUGGAAUCAGUACACUAGGUUGCAUAUGAUCUUUUGGGUUAACUGGAGGGAAAAAGAUGGACAAAGUGUGCACAAUAGCAAGUGAAUUUUGUGAUGCUUGUGCAACUGCCCCGAUACAUACAUUUUGCACAAGUGACUGGAGGCAGCUGGGAGAUGUGCAAUCUAAAUCUGAAAAUGAAACAACUGACAGUAAAGCAGCUUUUAGCUGAAAAAUAAAUUUUAUAUGUGGUGGGAGAGAAAAUGACCAUGUGCUGACAAGAGAAAGACAAAGGUGAUUUGAAAAAAUAGUAAAUAUAAAAGUUUGCCACUAAUUUAAAGAAUUUAUGGCGAGCUUCAUUCUUGAUGUUAAACAAAGAAAUACAUAUCUCAUUAUUAUCAGUUGCCUGGAAUCCUUUGGUAUUUGCACACUGUCCCUUGAAUGUGUCAGGAGUCAUGUAAUAAAAUGCACAAAAGAUGUAAAACUUGAAUCUGAGGACCAUGACUGUACUGAUGUAGUCUGGUCAGCCAUUUCAGGAGUGACAGUAAUCUAGUGUGAUGGGAAAUCAUAGAAUCACAGGGUUGGAAGGGAUGUCAGGAGAUCAUCUAGUCCAACCCCCUGCUCAAAGCAGGACCAAUCCCCAACUAAAUAGUUAUAAUGAUCCACUUUAAAAGUCAAAAAAACUAGCAUACAUCUAACUUCUUGAGUUGUUAUAGCCUAAAGAAUGGACGAGUGAACCAGUUCUAAUACAACAAAAAUACAACCUACAUCUUCAUCUCAAUCUAACCAAACCAUUUCAGACAUUCCAAAAAUAGUUUGGUGAAUUUCUAUGUUUGAUUGUUUCUUUUAAAUUUUUUGUGAAGCUUUGCACUUCUGGGUUUUGACUGGGAGUGUUGAAAGAGCCUGUUCUUGUGGUAUUUCUCAUCAUGUCAAGCUAUGAAACAGGGGAAAUCUCACAAAACACAUUCUUAUUUCACAGCAUUUCCAAUGCAAUUUCCAGACCAAGAGGUAUGGGUAUGUUUGGAUGGCCAGGCUUCAGGUAAAUACUCAAACUUGGGAACGGUUAUUGGAAUGGAAAUGCCAAUGUUUUUGAGGUUUGCAUAGAUUAUUGCUUUUAUUAUUUAUAAUUUACAUUGUGGGACCCCAAUCAUAGAGUCCUAUUAUAGAUGAGGGCCCCAAUAAGCUAGGAGCUGUACAAACAUAGAACAAAAAGACUGUCCCUGCCCUGAGGAGCUUACAAUGUAAGUAAAAAGGUAAUGUAAUAAUCCACUCGGUAGAGCUAGAAGGUACCUUGUUUCCAGGCCCAUUUCAGUACGAAAAUCUGGGUUGCAUAAGUAAUUAAGGGCAUGAGCAAAAGCUCAUUGAAAUCAAUGGAAAUACUUCUAUAGAUUUCAAUGGGCUUUGGAUCAGGCCCUAAGUACGGGACUGGAGUCAUGCACGGCUAUGUACGUUUUUAAUCCUUGUGGUCCCAACCACAGUGUUCCGGGUCUCUGAAAUCCCUACAAUCCCUAUAUGAUGGAUCUCAAAGACAGAAUUUUCUCUUUAGAGAGACUAGGGGAGUGAGGUACUAUCUUUUAUUGGACCCACUUCUACUGGCGAGAGAGAGAGACGAGCUUCCGCACUUACACAGAGCUCUUCUUCAGUACUGACAUGGCUACAACAACAUGGCGUACAAUCUUCUCUUUAUAAAUUUCUGAUAUAAAACUAUUGUAUUACUUUUUUUUAGCCUUUAGUGGAAUUUCAGAUUGGUCAUAUUUGGGGGAUCCUGUCUUGAUCCACCCCUUGCUCAUAUAGCAGGACUGCUCUUUUCCCAUCUUACACACAAUUAUCACCAUAGCUUCUCUCUAAAAGGACUUCAGCAAUACCACAAGUUGCCCAAGCUGGUAAACUGUACAGAUUUAAGUUGUAAAUGUCCUCAGGAUUCAUUAAGUUGUAGAUGAUGAUUCUUCGAUAAAGCAUAUGCUUCAUGAACAUAUCCAGAGGUCUGAUAGGGACUUGACCAUAUUAAUAAUAGCAUCAACAAUAAUAAUGCAUGGACCUGUAACAGGCUUUCACAUCAAGAAGAAUGUGAAAGAUUAGCUUGAGAAGUAAACAUUAAGACCAGAUCUUCAGCUGGUGUAAAUCCACAUAAUUGCAUGGACUUCACAUUGAUUUCAAUGGAACAACACCAAUUUAUGCCACCUGGUAACAUGGCCCUUAAUGUGGUGACUAACAUUUUUUUGUAAAUGUUAUCAGAAAAAGGAAUAUGCUUCUAUAUUAAAUUUUAGGGUUAGGAUUCAUAUACAAUAAAACCCAAUUAGUACUUCUCAGGUUAAAGCAACGAAGCAAUAUUUGUUUCCCAAGAAUACGUCAAUGCAACAUGUAUUGGCCACAUUAAAGAAGAGAAAUGCAGUCCAUAGUUGCUGGAUGUAUUUUCCAUGUCUAUAGAUUUUACUCGACUACCAUUAUUUCUACCUCAAGUAGUCAUAAGUAACACUUAUUAAUUAAUGGGAUAUUUGCUGAAGUUGGUUUCCUUUCUUUUUUUCUUUUACUGAAAAAGGCACAGGGGGACAAGCUAAAAAGAGCUGCAGACAUGCGUAUUCCAUUUGAAAUACAUGAUUAAAAAGCUUAAAAA